GACGAACGCUGGCGGCGUGCUUAACACAUGCAAGUCGAACGAUGAACCGGAGCUUGCUCUGGGGAUUAGUGGCGAACGGGUGAGUAACACGUGGGCAACCUGCCCCAGACACCGGGAUAACCAUUCGAAAGGAUGGCUAAUACCGGAUACGACCACUUCGGGCAUCCGAUGGUGGUGGAAAGGAUUCUGGUCUGGGAUGGGCCCGCGGCCUAUCAGCUUGUUGGCGGGGUAAUGGCCUACCAAGGCGACGACGGGUAGCCGGCCUGAGAGGGCGACCGGCCACACUGGGACUGAGACACGGCCCAGACUCCUACGGGAGGCAGCAGUGGGGAAUAUUGCGCAAUGGGCGAAAGCCUGACGCAGCGACGCCGCGUGAGGGACGAAGGUCUUCGGAUUGUAAACCUCUUUCAGCAGGGAUGAAGCGAAAGUGACAGUACCUGCAGAAGAAGCACCGGCUAACUACGUGCCAGCAGCCGCCGUAACAC
rnacentral:rRNA from 1 species